rnacentral:rRNA from 1 species
UACGUAGGGUGCGGGCGUUAAUCGGAAUUACUGGGCGUAAAGCGUGCGCAGGCGGUCUGUUAAGACCGAUGUGAAAUCCCCGGGCUUAACCUGGGAACUGCAUUGGUGACUGGCAGGCUUUGAGUGUGGCAGAGGGAGGUAGAAUUCCACGUGUAGCAGUGAAAUGCGUAGAGAUGUGGAGGAAUACCGAUGGCGAAGGCAGCCUCCUGGGCCAACACUGACGCUCAUGCUCGAAAGCGUGGGGAGCAAACAGG